UACGUAGGGGGCAAGCGUUGUCCGGAUUUAUUGGGCGUAAAGAGCGUGUAGGCGGCCUGACAGGUCUGCUGUGAAAACUCGAGGCUCAACCUCGAGAUGUCGGCGGAAACCGUCUGGCUAGAGUCCGGAAGAGGAGAGUGGAAUUCCUGGUGUAGCGGUGAAAUGCGCAGAUACCAGGAGGAACACCGGUGGCGAAGGCGGUUUCCUGGCCGAGUACUGACGCUGAGGCACGAAAGCGUGGGGAGCGAACGGG
rnacentral:rRNA from 1 species